CCCUUAGAUGUUCUGGGCCGCACGCGCGCUACACUGACGAAUGCAACGAGCUUAUAACCUUGGCCGAAAGGUCUGGGUAAUCUCCAAAUUUCGUCGUGAUGGGGAUAGAUUAUUGCAAUUAUUAAUCUUCAACGAGGAAUGCCUAGUAAGCGCAAGUCAUCAGCUUGCGUUGAUUACGUCCCUGCCCUUUGUACACACCGCCCGUCGCUCCUACCGAUUGAAUGGUCCGGUGAAGCGUUCGGAUACCGGCGUUGCUGGCGGUUCGCCGCCGGCGACGCUGGUAGAAGAUCUUUAAACCUUAUCAUUUAGAGGAAGGAGAAGUCGUAACA
rnacentral:rRNA from 1 species